UUAUCUUACAUAAAGUAUUAAUUCAUAUUAAUAUCGUUACCAACAAAUUUCAAGAAAAAACUGCAACCUUAGGUCAAUCUAAAAAUAUUAUUUAAGGUGUGAUGAUGAUUUUUUAAAUUUUAAGAACAACAGAAUAUUUUUCUCAGCUUUGGUGUGAAAUAGAAACCUUUGCUAAAGAUCAUGACAUAUCAAUACAAACACCGUUUAAAGGAUGUAAAAGAAAAAGACAAGAGCCAACAAUUUUUAAAAAUGUUGAUGUCACUGCAACCACAAGUGCUGAACAUAGUAUCAAUGAAACUAAUGAAACCACUGAAGGUUAUUUAAAAAAAAAAUGCUUUCUUUCCUGUAUUUGAUGCUAUCUUGGUAAAUCUGGAAAAAAGGUUUUCUCCUGAAAGUCUCCAAAUGGCUACAGCUGUUGAUCAAUUUUGUCAACUUAACUUUGAGGAAAGCGUUUUUUUUGUAGAUCAUUAUAAAGAUUUGAUGUGUGUAUCUAAAGAUUUACUAAAGUCAGAAAUGGCAGUGGUAUAGAAUUGCAUAUUUCAGUCUACUGACAAAGAAUAUAUACCUUUAAAUGAUGUAAA